GAUGAACGCUGGCGGCGUGCCUAAUACAUGCAAGUCGAGCGAACAGACGAGGAGCUUGCUCCUCUGACGUUAGCGGCGGACGGGUGAGUAACACGUGGAUAACCUACCUAUCAUACUGGGAUAACUUCGGGAAACCGGAGCUAAUACCGGAUAAUAUAUUGAACCGCAUGGUUCAAUAGUGAAAGACGGUUUUGCUGUCACUUAUAGAUGGCUCCGCGCCGCAUUAGCUAGUUGGUACGGUAACGGCUUACCAAGGCAACGAUGCGUAGCCGACCUGAGAGGGUGAUCGGCCGCACUGGAACGGAGACACGGUCCAGACUCCUACGGGAGGCAGCAGUAGGGAAUCUUCCGCAAUGGGCGAAAGCUUGACGGAGCAACGCCACGUGAGUGAUGAAGGUCUUCGGAUCGUAAAACUCUGUUAUUAGGGAAGAACAAAUGUGUAAGUAACUAUGCACGUCUUGACGGUACCUAAUCAGAAAGCCACGGCUAACUACGUG
rnacentral:rRNA from 1 species